UACGUAGGGGGCAAGCGUUGUCCGGAUUUAUUGGGCGUAAAGAGCGUGUAGGCGGCCAUUCAGGUCGGCUGUGAAAACUCGAGGCUCAACCUCGAGACGUCGGUUGAAACCGUUUGGCUAGAGUCCGGAAGAGGAGAGUGGAAUUCCCGGUGUAGCGGUGAAAUGCGCAGAUAUCGGGAAGAACACCCGUGGCGAAGGCGGCUCUCUGGGACGGUACUGACGCUGAGACGCGAAAGCGUGGGGAGCGAACAGG
rnacentral:rRNA from 1 species